rnacentral:lncRNA from 1 species
AGCCAUCACAUUUUGUCAAAACGUGGCUAAAAUUCGACAAAACGUUAAGGUUUACCCCAUAACUUUUUGACUAUUUUUCGCCACUUUCUCAAUUUUUCAAAAAGUGACCAAAAAUGGUGAACAAGUAAAGGCCUUAAAUUUGCUCAUAAGUUUGAGUAGUUUUAUUCAUUACUUUAAUUUACUAUGGAUGGAUUAUUUUACUGAAGUGUUUGAAUCAAAAUUAUUUGCAGUGAAUAUAUUCACAAACUUAAUUGGAAGAAAAAAGAAGAAAUUAACUUUUUCAAUAAAUUUAAAAGUUCGUAUUGUGCGCAUGCUCCAUAGAAAUAAUAGACAUAGAAUGCGUGCUCCUAUCUUUUCUCAGUAAAAAAAUUGUCUCCACAAAAUGGCGCAUUGAAAAGGGCAUUUUGGUUGGUCCCAGACUCCUUCGGCAGGGAAUUUCGCGCGGUUGCACGGAGUGCGAAUUAUUUUUUCAACUGAAAAGUUUGCAAAAAAUUUUAUAUGGGGACUUAAAUAGUUCUGAACAGAAUAUAUGCAGAAAUCGUCGUUUAAAAAUAAAUUUUCAACGUUAUGUUGUUG